CUCCCUGUGACCCACUAAGAAACAAGCUUCAGAAAUCCAAACGAAUGACACAUACCUUGGCAUGGGGACUGGUGGCAACCAUCACAUGGAUACUUACAGAAUUAAGACUGAAAUAUAGUUGAGAGGAGAUGGUGUGUAACAACACUGUGUUCUGAUUCUAUAAAUACUCUGCAAAUACUCUUGAACUAGUGGGCUAGAAAGUUAAGAGGUUUCUCAUUCCUUCUGAUCCUUUUGUCAGUUAAGGUUUGCAGGCCUACAGGCUUGGGCCAAGAAACAUUUUUGGAUCAAACUGGCAGUCAUUGCCAAAGACAUGGCUGAGGUUGACACAGCCUGCAUCUAUGGGGUAGAGAAGCUGAUGGACAAUACACAACAAAUGAACAAAUAGGUCAGUAUGGAGCUCUCGGCUACUUCUCCAGCACUAUGCCUGUCCUGCCGGCCGCCAUGCUCCCUGCCCUUAUGAUAAUGGACUAAGCCUCUGAAACUGUCCAGAUGACAACUCAUUGAAAUAGAUCUACACAGUAGAAGGGAUUCAAGAAUAAUUUCCUGGAUAUGGUACCAAAAGCCCAGACAACAGCAAGAAUUGACCAAUGAGACUGACUCCAUGAAGCUCGAGCUCCCAAUGACAACAACUGACAGGAAGGAAAGAUGGCCUACAGAAGGAGGGAGAAGAUGCAAGCUAUAAACGUCCAGGAGUUAAUGUCCCAAAUAUCUAAAGAGCCCAUAACCACAUCAACGAAAACAGUCUGAUUUUUAACUGGGCAAACAACUUAAGACAUUUCUCCAAAAAAUAUACAAAUGGCCAAAUAAACACAUGAAAGUUGUUCAACAUUAUUCAUCAUCAGGGAAAUGCAAUAAAAAGUACAGUGAGGUAUCAACUGA